rnacentral:misc_RNA from 1 species
AGUCGUAACAAGGUAACCGUAGGUGAACCUGCGGUUGGAUCAUUAUCUAUAAACUGACUAGACUUUUGUCUAGUUUAUAGUCUCGUCUCUACUAGGUAACUGGUAUUGACUGAGGCAACACCCUAUGUGAAUUUGUUAUUAUUAUGGAGGGGAGGUUCUAGUCAUAGGACCUUUUCUUUCUAUAUAAACAUUGACCAUAGACCAGUAGGAACUCUUUGAGAACCUAUAGAGAACACCAGAGAAAACCAUACUAAAAGUAAACAACUUUUGACAACGGAUCUCUUGGCUCUC